UACGGAGGAUGCGAGCGUUAUCCGGAUUUAUUGGGUCUAAAGGGUGCGUAGGCGGGCUGUUAAGUCAGCGGUCAAAUGUCGGGGCUCAACCCCGGCCUGCCGUUGAAACUGGUGGCCUCGAGUGGGCGAGAAGUAUGCGGAAUGCGUGGUGUAGCGGUGAAAUGCAUAGAUAUCACGCAGAACCCCGAUUGCGAAGGCAGCCUUCCGGCGCCCUACUGACGCUGAGGCACGAAAGUGCGGGGAUCGAACAGG
rnacentral:rRNA from 1 species